CGGGCCGUGGGCGGGAUGAGCCAUUAAGGCUUUGGCGACGGCCUCCUGCACACGAUCAGUUGGUUCACCCUCCAGCUUGCGGAGACCCCUUGCCGAACUCUUCCCGACUGGGCAACGAUUUUCCAGUUUCGCUAUCGUUGUAGCUUCAGCAGGGAAAGAGAUUGACUUCUA